AUGUUUCUACGGAAAAUAAGCUUCAUCUCAGUCAAUCUGUUCGUCCCAACUUUGGGCAGCAGGUGUGGGGGCGGGACCAAGGUCUGCGCCGUAAUCCAAACAGGCAGUCCCACCCAGGGCCACCCCAAGGCUAGAUGCUCCGACGCGACUCGAGCAGGCCACACUGUCUUUCGGACAAAGCGACGCGGUCCUCACAGGCGGGAAGGAGAGUGCGUCCCGGUCGGGAAGGACGCCGCCAGUGAGCUGCCUGCCCACGUGACGCCCGCGGCGACCUUGGGGGUCACCCUUGCGGACGCACCGCCCUCUCCCUCACAUCCGCCGCCGCGCCCGCCCCUCACUCUACGACCGCCAAUGGCGCGUCGCUCCGCGCCCCGCGCGACCUCGGAGCGCGCUCGUACCCGCCAAUCUCCGCCCGCCGGGCGGGCCCCACGGCGCCAUUGGCUACCACGGCCAUCUAUCAGGUCCCGUCCCUCCUACCACCCUCCGUCAGCCCCACUCCAUCCAGCUCCACUCCCCUGUCACCGCGGCACCCGCAGCACCAAGGGCGCGGCGGCCUCGCCCUUUCCCGCUAUCUCCAACCCCGGGCCGCCAAGCGCCGCGCUACCCGGCACUGGGACGGGCGCAGCGACAGCGCAAGGUUACCUGUCUCCGGCUCAGCUCCACCCGAAUGAGGCGCCGACACCCCACUCCGGGGCUCUAAACUCUCGGCCCCGCCCUGGCGUAUGGCGUCAACACGUAGCCCUCCCCUGGAGAAGAAGGCCCUCCCCUCUUACAGUGAACCGAUUCGUGACGUCACAGAGGCGCGCCGGACGUCACCGCGCCGACUACGCAGUUGCGGGAGCUUGGGCCGGCGGGAGCCCAGCUGUUUGCUCCGCCAGAGCGAUGAGUUUGAGUCUAUGGACUUCCAGCGGCUUCUACGAUCAUAAGAGUUUAUCUGGACUGUCUUGGAGGUGGAGAGGACUCUGCACCUAGAGAAGGUAUUGGGUCUCUUGUUAGCAAAGUGUGGCUCAUGCUCUAAUGGCAGGACUAGUGGGGCAGAAGGAACUUGAGGGUGAAGUGGUGGAAUUGAUCGCUGACUGAUGGCACUUUCUGAUGCAGUCUCCUUCAUCUUCCUCAUCUGAAUGGAAUGCACCCGGUACUCUGUCACCAGGUGGUGGUGUCCACCAGGUCAGGACCCAUGUUCCCAGUGCAGGUUUUGGAUGCCACUUGGAGGAUAGUGCAGCCAGAUGCCCAAACUCUUCACCUGAAGAGGGAGGGUUCUCCAUCACCUACCCACUGGAGACAGUUUCCACUAAGACUUCUUCAGCUAAGAUACAGAGUGCCAGAGGCUCAAAGAUUCGCAUGGGGUAGAGGGUUGGUGUGCAGCUUUUGGGGGUGGUCAGGCAACACCCCACCACCUUGUGUUCUUGACAUGUGCCCCAGGCCUUCCUGGCUUCUCUUAGUGCUAGCCACCACUCACAAAAGGUUGAAAGUUUUUAAUUUUUUUUUUUUUUUUUUUGAGACAGAGUCUGGCUCUGUUGCCCAGGCUGGAGUGCAGUGGCACGAUCUAGGCUCACUGCAAGCUCCGCCUCCUGGGUUCACACCAUUCUCCUGCCUCAGCCUUCCGAGUAGCUGGGACUACAGGCGCCUGCCACCACGCCCGGCUAAUUUUUUGUAUUUUUAGUAGAGACCGGGUUUCACCGUGUUGGCCAGAAUGGUCUCGAUCUCCUUUUUUGUAUUUUUAGUAGAGACCGGGUUUCACCGUGUUGGCCAGAAUGGUCUCGAUCUCCUGACCUCAUGAUCCGCCCGCCUCGGCCUUUCAGAGUGCUGGGAUUAUAGGCGUGAGCCACCACGCCUGGCCGAAAGUUUUUAAUUUUGAUGUUGCUUAUGUCAUAUCUAAGAAUCCAUUGCCAAAUCUAAGGUUGUGAAGAUUUACCCUUAUGUUUCUUCUAUGAGGUUAUGGUUUUAGCUCAUAUUUAGAUUGUCUACCUAU
rnacentral:lncRNA from 1 species